UACAGAGGGGGCAAGCGUUGUUCGGAAUUACUGGGCGUAAAGGGCGCGUAGGCGGCCCGCUAAGUCGAACGUGAAAUCCCCGGGCUCAACCCGGGAACUGCGUCCGAUACUGGUGGGCUCGAAUCCGGGAGAGGGAUGCGGAAUUCCAGGUGUAGCGGUGAAAUGCGUAGAUAUCUGGAGGAACACCGGUGGCGAAGGCGGCAUCCUGGACCGGUAUUGACGCUGAGGCGCGAAAGCUAGGGGAGCAAACGGG
rnacentral:rRNA from 1 species